UGCCGAGGUGGCAAGCUCCCUGUGAGGGUUAGAAAGUGCAGGUUAGAAGGGUUAGAAAGCCCCAUGGCAGCCAGACCCGGCUCCAGUUGGGGCUUUUAAGGGGGAGGGGGAGAGAGCGUUGUAGCAAUUCCUUGGCCCUUUGAAACCUUGGCCUUUUCCGGUGUCCCAGUACAACCUGGGCUGGUGUGGGCCUGCAAUGCCUGGGCUUGCGGAGGUUUGCAAGCUUUUUGUGAGAUCUGACCCAUCAGUUACGAUGUUGAGACCCCCUCCUUAUUGCAUCAGUUUGGGCUUUUAAAGCGACAGGGGAGAGAGUGUUCCUACAGCUCCCGAGCUCUUUUAACCCCACCACCUGCUUUUUCUGUGCCCUAUUGUAGAGGUGGGCUGAUGUGGGGUUAUGGACUCUGGGCUUGCUACGGUUGCAAGCUCACCGAGAGGACCGGACCCACCCCUUGGGGGGUCCCCACCGUGCUCUGGUCUAGGCUUGUAAGCUGCACGUGUCAGGUCAUUGUGUUCCGGCACAGUCUUUGGGAGCUGACGCCGACACUUGAGCAGAUGUGCGUCUUCUGGUUAUUGUGGGAUCAGCGAUAGCAUGUGACUCCUCUAGUAGAGGACUAAGAUUUCCCUGGUUUUCCACUGCACCCAAUGGUGACCUGCUGACUUUGGGUAUCUCUCACGUUAAGACGGCAGAGGCAGCUGCACCAAAUCUCCUCUCAUCAUUAUCCCAGAUGGAUGAGAGCUCUUCCCAGCUGCUGGUGUUCUGUCACUUUCUUUGGUGUGGGCUGUCCUGGAAGGUGUGUGAACUUCAAUGGGGCCACUCUCUGAAGCUGAGGCUGACCCUGAAGAGGCUGACAGAGGCCGUCUGUUCACUGUGCUGCCCACACAGCAAGUUCCACCUUGAAGAAGCAUCUCGACAUCAGAUAGUCUGCCAUACAUCGUGUCUAGACAAGAUUGGAAAAAAUGAGAUCGGUUACCUCCAGGCAUCCUCUGAUCUCACCAGAGUAAGAACUCCGUUCACUACAUAAGUGUCUCGUGUGCUACCAGACGUGUAGAAAGCCGAAAGCACCAAGUGGCACCGGUCAUUGCCGUGAGCUGCUUGGAAAGUCAACUCUGAGAUGGAGAUGAGCAUCCAGGAGUUUGUUGGGGCAUGUUCUUUGGACCACCCACUCUGGGAGGGGAGCGAGGGAGGUGGCCUGGGCAGAAGGAGAAGCUGGCCUGUGAGGGGGUCCUCAACACAAGCCAACCCAAGCUCCUGUGAGGAGCCUCGAAGCCGGGCCAGGCUUUUCUACCUCUCCGUAAACAAGUCAUUGAACCUGGGCACCCUGGGAAGAGGACGUGGCCGUGCUGAGAUGCCACUUUUCGUCUGAAGCAAGUCUGAGGAGGGCUGAUGGCUGGGGCUUUCUCCAGAAGCCCUCUUGGAAGCUUCAGGAAUAAUCCUGAUGGGUCUCUGAGGGGUACCUCACAGCAUCCCCACUGGAAGCGGACUGAGCCUGUCCCGGCUAACUUAGGCCACUGGUACCGUUGCCGCUGCUGCUGCCACCCCUGCUGUUACUUAAAGAAUCCUGAACAAAUGCUGAAAAGAGGUCACGCCUGAGACAGCAGCUAUACACGCGGCUGUCCCUGAGCAAAUCAGGAGGCAGCCACCCUGUCUGUAGCAGAGUUCAAGGCAUGAUUUCCAGGAGAAAGGAUGACUUCCGUUUACCAGCCUUGAAAGGGAGACGGUUCUGGGACUCUUAGAUGUUGUAGACCUGGUAUUUCUGCCGUUGACAAGGUGCCUUGUGCAACCCUCAUGGACAGAUAAGUACAAUUUGAAACUUGUUAAAAAUUUUAUACUCAAGUGUGCUAAUUAAUGAGUUCAUGACAAUCUGGAUGGGUUUUUGGUGGCACGCUCUGAUCUGUUCCACAGUUUCACCAGCUUAUUAAGUUCUCAGAUGACGAAGAUCUAGUUUCCAGAUGAUAGAGAUCUAGGUGGGAUGGAAAACAUGGCAGAUGGCAGAUGACGAAAAGAUCUCGACAAGUUAAAGUGAUGGACUGCAUCUAAUAGGACAAAAUGCAGUAGUAAUAAAAACAAUAUUCUGCA